rnacentral:misc_RNA from 1 species
AACUGAUACUACCUGCGGGAACCUGCGGAAGGAUCAUUAACAAAUCUGAGUUGUGGGUGUGUGGUGCGUGCAUGUGUAUGCGUCAAGUGUACACCGUGCACAAUCCGCUCGCCUACACAUUUACCCCGAGCCGGUCUAAACAGCCGGCUUUGGUUUGAGCCUUUGGGCUCAGGCGAUGGCUGUACGGGUGUAGGGAGGGGGGGAGGGGGGAGAGAGCAGCGCUGCUGCCUUUCCCUCUCU